rnacentral:rRNA from 1 species
UACGAGGGGAGCAAGCGUUGUUCGGAUUUACUGGGCGUAAAGGGCGCGUAGGCGGCGUGACAAGUCACUUGUGAAAUCUCCGGGCUUAACCCGGAACGGUCAAGUGAAACUGUCGUGCUAGAGUACAGAAGGGGCAACUGGAAUUCUCGGUGUAGCGGUGAAAUGCGUAGAUAUCGAGAGGAACACCUGCGGCGAAGGCGGGUUGCUGGGCUGAUACUGACGCUGAGGCGCGAAAGCCAGGGGAGCAAACGGG